rnacentral:rRNA from 1 species
UGGCGAACGGGGUAGGAGUAACAACGUCGGGGCGAACCUACGCCCAAAACGAAGGGGGGAUAACACUUGGAAACAGGUGCUAAUACCGCAUAACCAUAGUUACCGCAUGGUAACUAUGUAAAAGGUGGCUAUGCUACCGCUUUUGGAUGGGCCCGCGGCGCAUUAGCUAGUUGGUGGGGUAAAGGCUUACCAAGGCAAUGAUGCGUAGCCGAACUGAGAGGUUGAUCGGCCACAUUGGGACUGAGACACGGCCCAAACUCCUACGGAAGGCAGCAG